AAUGCGGUCAGGAUACAGCUGAAGAUGUUAUGAUGCGAUCGCUUCAAGAUCACCUGCUCUUUGGCACAGAAGCCGCAGAUCAUCCGGCUGGCGAGCUCCAUGGGAUGGUCCUGGUCCUCAUCGUGGCACACGUCGCAAGGAGCUCUCCUGGGAACAGCUGAGGCAGCCCACAAUGAUGUGACAGUCUUGAAGCACCAAGUCAGAGGGAACCGCGUUUUGGAGGUCCAGCCGCAAGGAUACACGAGUGGAAAAGAUAAGAGUGAGACCGGGGGAAUAUAUGUGCCAAGGACGUGACUUUUACCAGUCUGGCCCUGUUAGCGCUGCGCUAGCGUGUUACUGCCGUGUCUCAGUGAUUUUUACCGUUUUUUUUUUUUUUUUAAACUGGCCCUGUUAGCCCGGCGCUAGCGCUAGUGCAGGGGUCACCAAAGUGGUGUUCGCGGGCGAAUGGUAGCCCGCAAGGACCAUUUCAGGCCCCCGCGAGGUAUGUUCUAAAAAUACCAUAGGCCACAAAUUGUUACUAUUAUUUGUGCUUUAAAUUUUGAAUCUGACUUGCUUACGUGAAUUAAAAUUUUAAAAUACCUGUAAUGUCAUUUACUACAAUAAAUUAAAACAAAAAUAUUUUAUGUACGUCUAAUGAACUGAGUAUGAAAUUUGCUGCAAACAGGUCAGGUAGCCCUUUAUACGAUCGGUGCUCACGAAGUAGCCCUCAGCCUCAAAGAGGUUGCUGAUCCCAGCGUUAGUGUGAGCGCGGUGGCGCUUGCCUUAGGGUUAAGCACGGCAGCGCUCGUGUUAAACUCUCUGUGUACCGUCUUUGUAAAUAUCUCGUGUUUCAAUGUCGGUUUCAAUGUUGGCACUUGCGGUUUUUACACACCUGCGCCGUAUGUAUGUACCAAUUGUUAUUUCCUUUGCAAAUGUACUGGGUGAGGCGCGCUCGCUGAUUUAAGAUGGAAACAUUGUUUUACGAGAUGGUAGAGGUCUCUCCACUCAGUCUUGUUUUUGUUACAACUUGGACUGGAUUUUAUUAUAUCAUUUAGCUGUUUGUAAUGAAUGAAAUGAAAAAAUGAU